UUGGCAGGCGUAGAAUUUCGGUACAAUAUCUGGCAAUUGCGAAUAAGGAACUGCGAAUCUGGAGCAAACUUCUGUCUCGUCUAUAUAUGGACAUUUUCUAAGCAAGAAUGUAGUCACAUCAUAUUUAAUUUUAAAUUAAUUAUUUUUUAUUGUUAAAUUGCAUACCGAAAAAGUCCGUGGGGAUAUGAGAACUGCCUCGACAAGACUGUUUAAACGUCGGGAACUGGUGACAUAUCGAAAUUUUUAUCUCAACACGGUAGCUAAAUAGAGGAACGGACUGCAGAACUGACUUCAUACAGAGGCCAAAAUACAUACGUUGAGUGAUCUAGGUUUCUCUGGUCCCACCCCAAUUCCAGUAAGCAGCCGUUCUCUGGUGCCCCCUGUCUGAAGCUCACACGGUGGCACCAUGAGGAGGACACAGCUGUGCUGGGCGGCGUUACUGCUGCUGCAGUUUGCUAAGACUCCCACAAGUGCAACAUUCCAGCCAGAGGUCCCUGUGGCCACUGCAGCCGUGUCAUAUGACCUGACCGUGGCUCGUCAGCAGAUUAUAGCAGCACAGUUUGAGUGCUACCUGAAAAUCAUCAAUGACCC